UACGAAGGGGGCUAGCGUUGUUCGGAAUUACUGGGCGUAAAGCGCGCGCAGGCGGUCUUCCAAGUCAGUGGUGAAAGCCCGGAGCUCAACUCCGGAACUGCCAUUGAAACUGUUUAGCUGGAGUAUGAGAGAGGUGAGUGGAAUUCCCAGUGUAGAGGUGAAAUUCGUAGAUAUUGGGAAGAACACCGGUGGCGAAGGCGGCUCACUGGCUCAUUACUGACGCUCAUGCGCGACAGCGUGGGGAUCAAACAGG
rnacentral:rRNA from 1 species